AACCAACUGGGAUUACCUUAGUAACGGCGAGUGAAGCGGUAAAAGCUCAAAUUUGAAAUCUGGUACUUUCAGUGCCCGAGUUGUAAUUUGUAGAAUUUGUCUUUGAUUAGGUCCUUGUCUAUGUUCCUUGGAACAGGACGUCAUAGAGGGUGAGAAUCCCGUUUGGCGAGGAUACCUUUUCUCUGUAAGACUUUUUCGAAGAGUCGAGUUGUUUGGGAAUGCAGCUCAAAGUGGGUGGUAAAUUCCAUCUAAAGCUAAAUAUUGGCGAGAGACCGAUAGCGAACAAGUACAGUGAUGGAAAGAUGAAAAGAACUUUGAAAAGAGAGUGAAAAAGUACGUGAAAUUGUUGAAAGGGAAGGGCAUUUGAUCAGACAUGGUGUUUUUUGCAUGCACUCGCCUCUCGUGGGCUUGGGCCUCUCAAAAAUUUCACUGGGCCAACAUCAAUUCUGGCAGCAGGAUAAAUCAUUAAGAAUGUAGCUACUUCGGUAGUGUUAUAGCUUUUUGGAAUACUGUUAGCCGGGUA
rnacentral:rRNA from 1 species